AGUGAACGCUGGCGGUAGGCCUAACACAUGCAAGUCGAACGGCAGCACAGUAAGAUCUUGCUCUUACGGGUGGCGAGUGGCGGGCGGGUGAGGAAUACAUCGGAAUCUUCUUUUUCGUGGGGGAUAACGUAGGGAAACUUACGCUAAUACCGCAUACGACCUACGGGUGAGAGCAGGGGAUAUUCGGACCUUGCGCGAUUGAAUGAGCCGAUGUCGGAUUAGCUAGUUGGCGGGGUAAAGGCACACCAAGGCGACGAUCCGUAGCUGGUCUGAGAGGAUGAUCGGCCACACUGGAAGUGAGACACGGUCCAGACGCCUACGGGAGGCAGCAGUGGGGAAUAUUGGGCAAUGGGCGCAAGCCUGACCCAGCCAUACCGCGUGGGUGAAGAAGGCCUUCGGUUUGUAAAGCCCUUUUGUUGGGAAAGAAAAGCAGCAGGUUAAUACCCCGCUGUUCUGACGGUACCCAAAGAAUAAGCACCGGCUAACUACGUG
rnacentral:rRNA from 1 species